rnacentral:tRNA from 1 species
GGGGAUGUAGCUCAUCUGGUAGAGCGCGUGCUUAGCAUUACACUUCAUGUUCCUGCACGAGGUACUGGGUUCGACUCCCAGCUUCUCCA